rnacentral:rRNA from 1 species
GACGAACCGUGCGAACGUUGUUCGGAAUCACUGGGCUUAAAGGGCGCGUAGGCGGGCUGCCAAGUCUGGGGUGAAAUCCCGCGGCUCAACCGUGGAACUGCCUCAGAUACUGGCGGCCUCGAGGGAGGUAGGGGCGAGCGGAACUGAUGGUGGAGCGGUGAAAUGCGUAGAGAUGUGGAGGAAUACCGAUGGCGAAGGCAGCCUCCUGGGCCAACACUGACGCUCAUGCACGAAAGCGUGGGGAGCAAACAGG